rnacentral:rRNA from 1 species
ACAGCAGUCGCCGCGGUAAUACGAAGGGUGCAAGCGUUAAUCGGAAUUACUGGGCGUAAAGCGUGCGUAGGCGGUUUGUUAAGUCUGUUGUGAAAUCCCCGGGCUCAACCUGGGAAUGGCAAUGGAUACUGGCAAGCUAGAGUGUGUCAGAGGAUGGUGGAAUUCCCGGUGUAGCGGUGAAAUGCGUAGAGAUCGGGAGGAACAUCAGUGGCGAAGGCGGCCAUCUGGGACAACACUGACGCUGAGGCACGAAAGCGUGGGGAGCAAACAGGAUUAGAUACCCCCGUAGUCCCUGUCUCUUAUAC